UACGAAGGGGGCUAGCGUUGCUCGGAAUCACUGGGCGUAAAGGGUGCGUAGGCGGGUCUUUAAGUCAGGGGUGAAAUCCUGGAGCUCAACUCCAGAACUGCCUUUGAUACUGAAGAUCUUGAGUUCGGGAGAGGUGAGUGGAACUGCGAGUGUAGAGGUGAAAUUCGUAGAUAUUCGCAAGAACACCAGAGGCGGAGGCGGCUCACUGGCCCGAUACUGACGCUGAGGCACGAAAGCGUGGGGAGCAAACAGG
rnacentral:rRNA from 1 species